GACGAACGCUGGCGGCGUGCUUAACACAUGCAAGUCGAACGGAAAGGCCCUUCGGGGUACUCGAGUGGCGAACGGGUGAGUAACACGUGGGUGAUCUGCCCUGCACUUUGGGAUAAGCCUGGGAAACUGGGUCUAAUACCGAAUAGGACCGCGCGCUUCAUGGUGUGUGGUGGAAAGCUUUUGCGGUGUGGGAUGGGCCCGCGGCCUAUCAGCUUGUUGGUGGGGUAAUGGCCUACCAAGGCGACGACGGGUAGCCGGCCUGAGAGGGUGACCGGCCACACUGGGACUGCGAUACGGCCCAGACUCCUACGGGAGGCAGCAGUGGGGAAUAUUGCACAAUGGGCGCAAGCCUGAUGCAGCGACGCCGCGUGAGGGAUGACGGCCUUCGGGUUGUAAACCUCUUUCACCAGGGACGAAGCGCAAGUGACGGUACCUGGAGAAGAAGCACCGGCCAACUACGUG
rnacentral:rRNA from 1 species